AUUGAACGCUGGCGGCAGGCCUAACACAUGCAAGUCGAGCGGAAACGAUGGGAGCUUGCUCCCAGGCGUCGAGCGGCGGACGGGUGAGUAACACGUGGGAAUCUGCCCAUUAGUGGGGGAUAACUCGGGGAAACUCGAGCUAAUACCGCAUAAUCCCUACGGGGGAAAGCAGGGGAUCUUCGGACCUUGCGCUGAUGGAUGAGCCCGCGUCGGAUUAGCUUGUUGGUGGGGUAAUGGCCCACCAAGGCGACGAUCCGUAACUGGUCUGAGAGGAUGGCCAGUCACACCGGGACUGAGACACGGCCCGGACUCCUACGGGAGGCAGCAGUGGGGAAUCUUGGACAAUGGGCGCAAGCCUGAUCCAGCCAUGCCGCGUGUGUGAAGAAGGCCUUCGGGUUGUAAAGCACUUUCAGUAGGGAGGAAGGCUUUGGGCUAAUACCCUGGAGUACUGACGU
rnacentral:rRNA from 1 species